rnacentral:rRNA from 1 species
GCACAACGCGAAGAACCUUACCAAGGCUUGACAUGCAUCUCUAAGCGCGUGAAAGCGCGUGACCCUUCGGGGGAUUUGCACAGGUGCUGCAUGGCCGUCGUCAGCUCGUGUCGUGAGAUGUUGGGUUAAGUCCCGCAACGAGCGCAACCCUUGUGACUAGUUGCCAGCACGUUAUGGUGGGAACUCUAGUCAGACUGCCCAGAUCAACUGGGAGGAAGGUGGGGACGACGUCAGGUCAGUAUGGCCCUUACGCCUUGGGCUGCACACGUACUACAAUGCCCAGCACAAUGAGAACCGAGACCGCGAGGUGGAGGAAAUCUAAAAAACUGGGCCCAGUUCGGAUUGGAGGCUGCAACUCGCCUCCAUGAAGUUGGAAUCGCUAGUAAUGGCACAUCAUCUACGGCGCCGUGAAUACGUUCCCGGGUCUUGUACACACCG